rfam:Oryza glaberrima chromosome 1 Oglab01_0300_14, whole genome shotgun sequence.
AAUAAAUACACUUUUAGCACGGUUCAUAUCUAACGUUUGACCGUUCGUCUUAUUUGAAAAAAAUUAUGAUUAGUAUUUUUAUUGUUAUUACAUGAUAAAACAUGAGUAGUACUUUACGUGUGACUAUUUUUUUUAAAAAAAAUUCAUAAAAAUUUUAAAUAAGAUGGACGGUCAAAACGUUAAACACGGAUAUCUAUGGCUGCACUUAUU